AUUGAACGCUGGCGGCAUGCCUUACACAUGCAAGUCGAACGGUAACAGGUUAAGCUGACGAGUGGCGAACGGGUGAGUAAUGUAUCGGAACGUGCCCAGUCGUGGGGGAUAACUACUCGAAAGAGUAGCUAAUACCGCAUACGAUCUAUGGAUGAAAGCGGGGGACCGUAAGGCAUCGCGCGAUUGGAGCGGCCGAUGUCAGAUUAGGUAGUUGGUGGGGUAAAGGCCUACCAAGCCGACGAUCUGUAGCUGGUCUGAGAGGACGACCAGCCACACUGGGAAUGAGACACGUCCCAGACUCCUACGGGAGGCAGCAGUGGGGAAUUUUGGACAAGGGGCGCAAGCCUGGUCCAGCAAUGCCGCGUGCAGGAAGAAGGCCUUCGGGUUGUAAACUGCUUUUGUACGGAACGAAACGGCCUGGGUUAAUACCCUGGGCUAAUGACGGUACCGUAAGAAUAAGCACCGGCUAACUACGUGCCAGCCGCCGCAGUAACAC
rnacentral:rRNA from 1 species